UACGUAGGGGGCAAGCGUUGUCCGGAAUCAUUGGGCGUAAAGCGCGCGUAGGCGGCCCGGUAAGUCCGCUGUAAAAGUCCAGGGCUCAACCCUGGAAAGCCGGUGGAUACUGUCGGGCUGGAGUCCGGAAGAGGCGAGUGGAAUUCCUGGUGUAGCGGUGGAAAUGCGCAGAUAUCAGGAGGAACACCAAUGGCGAAGGCAGCUCGCUGGGACGG
rnacentral:rRNA from 1 species